UACGUAGGGAGCGAGCGUUGUCCGGAUUCAUUGGGCGUAAAGAGCUCGUAGGCGGCUUGGUAAGUCGGAUGUGAAACCUCCAGGCUCAACCUGGAGUCGCCAUCCGAUACUGCCAUGGCUAGAGUCCGGUAGGGGCCCACGGAAUUCCUGGUGUAGCGGUGAAAUGCGCAGAUAUCAGGAGGAACACCUGUGGCGAAGGCGGUGGCCUGGACCGGUGCUGACGCUGAGGCGCGAAGGCAUGGGGAGCGAUCCGG
rnacentral:rRNA from 1 species